rnacentral:rRNA from 1 species
AACGAACGCUGGCGGCAUGCCUAACACAUGCAAGUCGAACGCCCCGCAAGGGGAGUGGCGAACGGGUGAGUAACGCGUGGGAACCUACCCAGCAGUUGGGGAUAACCGCGGGAAACUGCGGCUAAUACCGAAUACGUCCUAAGGGAGAAAGAUUUAUCGCUGUUGGAGGGGCCCGCGUCGGAUUAGCUAGUUGGUGAGGUAACGGUUCACCAAGGCGACGAUCCGUAGCUGGUCUGAGAGGAUGAUCAGCCACACUGGGACUUAGACACGGCCCAGACUCCUACGGGAGGCAGCAGUGGGGAAUAUUGGACAAUGGGGGCAACCCUGAUCCAGCAAUGCCGCGUGAGUGAUGAAGGCCUUAGGGUUGUAAAGCUCUUUUACCGGGGACGAUGAUGACGGUACCCGGAGAAUAAGCCCCGGCUAACUUCGUGCCAGCAGCCGCCGCAG